AUGACCAAUAUGUACAACAUGCCUUUUGCUCCGUUCAUUGGGAUCAACCGUCAUGGGCAAUCUUUCAUGUUGGGCUACGCGUUUGUGAGACAAGAAAUGGAGACCAUCUUUGUUUGGGUUUUUGGAGCUUUCCUAGAGGCUAUGAAUGGAAGGGCACCAGAUAACAUCAUUAUUGAUCAGGAUGUGGAAAUGAAGGAGUCCAUAAAGAACAUAUUUCCCACAAGUGUGCACCGAUGUUGUCAGUGGCACAUCAUGAAAAAAGCUCAAGAGAAAGUUGGAUGGUUGCUAGGCCGGAACCCGGGAUUGUUUGAAGAUUUCAACCUUUGCGUUGAUUUCAGUUUCACACCAGAUGAGUUUGAACAGAAUUGGGCUGCUUUGAUGAUGAAAUAUGAGGCAAUUACACACACCCAUUUUGAGAAACUUUAUGAAUAUAGGAACACUUGGGUGCCAUGUUACUUCAAGCAUAAUUUUUUCCUUCUUGCAGUCUACGCAACGAAGUGA
rnacentral:rRNA from 1 species